UGGGGAAUCUUCCGCAAUGGACGAAAGUCUGACGGAGCAACGCCGCGUGAGUGAAGACGGCCUUCGGGUUGUAAAGCUCUGUGAUCCGGGACGAAAGAGCCUGAGGUGAAUAGCCUAAGGAAGUGACGGUACCGGAAAAGCAAGCCACGGCUAACUACGUGCCAGCAGCCGCGGUAAUACGUAGGUGGCAAGCGUUGUCCGGAAUUAUUGGGCGUAAAGCGCGCGCAGGCGGCUUCCUAAGUCCAUCUUAAAAGUGCGGGGCUUAACCCCGUGAUGGGAUGGAAACGGGGAAGCUGGAGUAUCGGAGAGGAAAGUGGAAUUCCUAGUGUAGCGGUGAAAUGCGUAGAGAUUAGGAAGAACACCGGUGGCGAAGGCGACUUUCUGGACGAAAACUGACGCUGAGGCGCGAAAGCGUGGGGAGCAAACAGG
rnacentral:rRNA from 1 species